rnacentral:rRNA from 1 species
AUUGAACGCUGGCGGCAGGCUUAACACAUGCAAGUCGAGCGGAGAGAGGUAGCUUGCUACUGAUCUUAGCGGCGGACGGGUGAGUAAUGCUUAGGAAUCUGCCUAUUAGUGGGGGACAACAUUUCGAAAGGAAUGCUAAUACCGCAUACGUCCUACGGGCGAAAGCAGGGGAUCUUCGGACCUUGCGCUAAUAGAUGAGCCUAAGUCGGAUUAGCUAGUUGGUGGGGUAAAGGCCUACCAAGGCGACGAUCUGUAGCGGGUCUGAGAGGAUGAUCCGCCACACUGGGACUGAGACACGGCCCAGACUCCUACGGGAGGCAGCAGUGGGGAAUAUUGGACAAUGGGCGCAAGCCUGAUCCAGCCAUGCCGCGUGUGUGAAGAAGGCCUUAUGGUUGUAAAGCACUUUAAGCGAGGAGGAGGCUACUUUAGUUAAUACCUAGAGAUAGUGGACGUUACUCGCAGAAUAAGCACCGGCUAACUCUGUGCCAGCCGCCGCAGUAAGAC